GUUUUGUGUGUAGUGGUUAUUACGUUCACUUUACACGCGAAAGGUUCUCGGUUCAAACCCGGGCAGAACCA